UACGUAGGGGGCAAGCGUUAUCCGGAUUUAUUGGGCGUAAAGAGCGCGUAGGCGGUCUGUUAAGCGAGAUGUGAAAACCGGGGGCUCAACCCGCGGCCUGCAUCUCGAACUGGCAGACUUGAGUCUGGUAGAGGAAAGUGGAAUUCCUGGUGUAGCGGUGAAAUGCGCAGAUAUCAGGAGGAACACCAGUGGCGAAGGCGGCUUUCUGGGCCACGACUGACGCUGAGGCGCGAAAGCUAGGGGAGCGAACAGGAUUAGAUACC
rnacentral:rRNA from 1 species